CCUGGAAAAGACCCUGAUGUUGGGAAAGAUGGAGGGCACAAGGAGAAGGGGACGACAGAGGACCAGAUGGUUGGACAGUGUUCUCGAAGCUACGAACGUGAGUUUGACCAAACUGCGGGAGGCAGUGGAAGACAGGAGUGCCUGGCGUGCUCUGGUCCAGGGGGUCACGACUAAAUGACAACAAGUUGAGGCCGACAAUGCAGAGCCGUGUUUACAGAUCUGUAGUACAGUGGUACCUUGGUUCUCAAACGCCUUGGUACUCAAACAGCUUGGAACCCAAACACCUCAAACCCGGAAGUAAGUGUUCCAGUUUGCAAACAUUUUUCAGAAGCCAAACGUGCUCCGUUUUGUGUUAUGCUUCUGUUUUGAGUGUUACGCUGAGGUCUGUCUGUUUUUGCUAUUUAUUUUGCAUUUUUGUUUCUGCUGCUCUUUUUUGUUUUGUUUUUGUGACUGUGUGGAACCCAGUUCAGCUACUGAUCGAUUGUGUGACUGCAGUAGAUGGUUUAUUGCUUUCAUUUUAUGGAUCAAUGGUCUUGUUAGAUAGUAAAAUGCAUGUUAAAUUGCUAUUUUAGGGGUUGUUUUUACAAGUCUGGAAUGGAUAAUCCCUUUUGCAUUACUUUCUUUGGGGAAGCAUGCCUUGGUUUUGGAAUGGAUUAAGUUUGAGAACCAAGGUACCACUGUACACCCUUGAAGGUUGCUUCCAUCUGCAGAUCUCUCUUCCCACAGGUGGAGGUAUUCCCCUUUUGCUUGGUCGAUUUGAGCUGCCUUGUGGAAUCAGAUAUGCACCCACGAUGGAAAAACCCAAAGACGCUGCAGGAACGAGUACAGGGGCAGCUUUGUACUUUAGCUUUAUUUUUAAAAAACAAGUCAUGCACAACACAAAAGGUGCUUAAAAUAAAAAUCCACCGCCACUUUCCACCAUCACAAACAGCGCCACCGAAAUGUUAAAACACACAAGAAGCCUCACAAUGCAUUUUUCUCUACUUGGAAAGUUUUUUUAAAGUUGUGCACCGUUAACCGAGACACAAGGUGCUUUAUUAAGCUCUGCAGAAAAUCCUAAAGGAGAGAGUCGCUUCCCGGAACAGAAUGCAGACUGCAAGGACCGCCUGGGCUGGUGGAUUGGGACCCGGAAAGGUUUCCUGUUUGCCGGAGAAGCCUUUAUCCAAGGAGGGUGAGGGUGCCAAAUUCCCUCUCCACCAGCCAGCAUCUCCUGCCAGCAAGCCUGAUGCCAAGGAGACAGAACCACUGGC